rfam:Parcubacteria bacterium GW2011_GWA1_47_8 TY07_C0031, whole genome shotgun sequence.
GCGUCGGUGGCGGAGUGGUCAAUCGCAGCAGACUGUAAAUUUGCCGCCCUCUGGGCUUCGAAGGUUCGAAUCCUUCCCGGCGCA